rnacentral:rRNA from 1 species
UCUGGUUGAUCCUGCCAGUAGUCAUACGCUCGUCUCAAAGAUUAAGCCAUGCAUGUGUAAGUAUAAAUAUUUAACUUUGAAACUGCGAAUGGCUCAUUAUAUCAGUUAUAGUUUAUUUGAUGAAAAGUACUACUUGGAUAACCGUAGUAAUUCUAGAGCUAAUACAUGAUAAAAUCCUCGACUUUGAAGAGGUGUAUUUAUUAGAAUGAAACCAAUAGACUUCGGUCUGUUUGUGAGUAAUAAUAACUAAUCGUAUCGCAUGCUUAGGUAGCGAUAUGUCUUUCAAGUUUCUGCCCUAUCAGCUUUGGAUGGUAGUGUAUUGGACUACCAUGGCAGUAACGGGUAACGAAGAAUUUGGGUUCGAUUUCGGAGAGGGAGCCUGAGAGAUGGCUACCACAUCCAAGGAAGGCAGCAGGCGCGUAAAUUACCCAAUCCUGACAUAGGGAGGUAGUGACAAUAAAUCACAAUGCGGAACUAUUAGUUUUGCAAUUGGAUUGAGAACAAUGUACAAAUGUUAUCGAUAAACAAUUGGAGGGCAAGUCUGGUGCCAGCAGCCGCGGUAAUUCCAGCUCCAAUAGUGUAUAUUAAAGUUGUUGUGAUUAAAACGCUCGUAGUUGAAAAUGAUAUAUAUCCAUCGUUCAAGACAUGAGUAUGACAUGAUCAUAUGAAUGUGUUGAACAACAUAAAUGGAUAUAGUAAGGAAUGAUGCGACAUGAAUGUGUUGUGUUGUUAAUUACUUUGAAAAAAUUAGAGUGCUUAAAGCGAAUCUAUUAAAGAAUAGUGAAGCAUGGGACAAUAAAGUGAAUAGGAGAUCUACGGAUUUCGUAUUAGGAAGAAAGAUUAAGAGGAAUAAUUGGGGUAAUUCAGAAAAUAACGGGAGAGGUGAAAAUUCAUGAUCGUUAUAAGAUGAACUAGAGCGAAAGCAUUUUACUCAAUUAUGUUCAUUAAUCAAGAACGAAAGUUAGGGGAUCGAAGACGAUCAGAUACCGUCGUAGUCCUAACUAUAAACGAUGUCAACGAAGGAUUGGAUAAAUUUGAAGACUAAUAAGUUCGUUCAGCAUUGCUGGAAGAAGUUAGAAGUCGAAUACACCUUAUUCAGAACUUGAAGAGAAAUCUUGAGUUAUUGGACUUCAGGGGGAGUAUGGUCACAAGGCUGAAACUUAAAGGAAUUGAC